AGUGCUCAAUGCGGGAAUCGAACCCGGGUCGUAGUGGUCGAGAACCAACGGUUUAGACCAUCCUACCAUCGACAC
rnacentral:tRNA from 1 species